rnacentral:rRNA from 1 species
UACGUAGGGGGCAAGCGUUAUCCGGAUUUACUGGGUGUAAAGGGAGCGUAGACGGCGAUGCAAGCCAGAUGUGAAAGCCCGGGGCUCAACCCCGGGACUGCAUUUGGAACUGUGUGGCUGGAGUGUCGGAGAGGCAAGUGGAAUUCCUAGUGUAGCGGUGAAAUGCGUAGAUAUUAGGAGGAACACCAGUGGCGAAGGCGGCUUACUGGACUGUAACUGACGUUGAGGCUCGAAAGCGUGGGGAGCAAACAGG